rnacentral:rRNA from 1 species
GACGAACGCUGGCGGCGCGCCUAACACAUGCAAGUCGAACGAGCGAGAGAGAGCUUGCUUUCUUGAGCGAGUGGCGAACGGGUGAGUAACGCGUGAGGAACCUGCCUCAAAGAGGGGGACAACAGUUGGAAACGACUGCUAAUACCGCAUAAUGCUAUUGACCGGCAUCGGUUGAUAGCCAAGGAUUUAUUGCUGAGAGAUGGCCUCGCGUCUGAUUAGCUAGUUGGUGGGGUAACGGCCCACCAAGGCGACGAUCAGUAGCCGGACUGAGAGGUUGACCGGCCACAUUGGGACUGAGAUACGGCCCAG